rnacentral:rRNA from 1 species
AUUGAACGCUGGCGGCAGGCCUAACACAUGCAAGCCGAACGAGCGGCGGACGGGUGAGUAAUGUCUGCGAAACUGCCCGAUGGAGGGGGAUAACUACUGGAAACGGUAGCUAAUACCGCAUAGCAUCGGAUGUGCCCAGAUGGAAUACGCUAGUCGGUUGGGCAACGUCUCACCUAGGCCACGAUCCCCAGCCGGUCUGAGAGGAUGACCCGCCACACUGGAACUGAGAGACGGUCCAUCCUCCUACGGGAGGCAGCAGUGGGGAAUAUUGCGCUAUGGGCGAAAGCCUGAUGCAGCCAUGGCGCGUGUAUGAAGAAGGCCUUCGGGUUGUAAAGUGCUUUCAGCGAGGAAGCGUUACUCGCAGAGGGAGCACCGGCUAACUCCGUGCCAGCCGCCGCGGUAAUUC